CCAAUCUAGAGUNUCGGAGAGGAAAGUGGAAUUCCUAGUGUAGCGGUGAAAUGCGUAGAUAUUAGGAAGGACACCAGUGGCGAAGGCGACUUUCUGGACGAAAACUGACGCUGAGGCGCGAAAGCCAGGGGAGCGAACGGGAUUAGAUACCCCGGUAGUCCUGNCCGUAAACGAUGGGUACUAGGUGUAGGAGGUAUCGACCCNUUCUGUGCCGGAGUUAACGCAAUAAGUACCCCGCCUGGGGAGUACGACCGCAAGGUUGAAACUCAAAGGAAUUGACGGGGGCCCGCACAAGCGGUGGAGUAUGUGGUUUAAUUCGACGCAACGCGAAGAACCUUACCAGGUCUUGACAUUGAUGGACAGAACUAGAGAUAGUUCCUCUUCUUCGGAAGCCAGAAAACAGGUGGUGCACGGUUGUCGUCAGCUCGUGUCGUGAGAUGUUGGGUUAAGUCCCGCAACGAGCGCAACCCCUAUCUUAUGUUGCCAGCACUUCGGGUGGGAACUCAUGAGAGACUGCCGCAGACAAUGCGGAGGAAGGCGGGGAUGACGUCAAAUCAUCAUGCCCCUUAUGACCUGGGCUACACACGUACUACAAUGGGAAUUAAUAGACGGAAGCGAAACCGCGAGGUGGAGCAAACCCGAGAAACACUCUCUCAGUUCGGAUCGUAGGCUGCAACUCGCCUACGUGAAGUCGGAAUCGCUAGUAAUCGCAGGUCAGCAUACUGCGGUGAAUACGUUCCCGGGCCUUGUACACACC
rnacentral:rRNA from 1 species